GGGAAGGGUGGGGUGCCCCCGCCGGCGUCCCUCGCUCCUUCUCCGCUCCCUCGCCCACACCCCGUGCUUUUUAUACUGUUUUUAAAGCAUUCUGUUUCCUCGACAGCACUCCGCGGAGUUUUUUAAACAGUAUUUUGUUGUGGGGAGGGUUGUUUUUUUUUUUUUAGUUUUUUUUUUUUUUCCCCUCGCUUUCGGGCCCUUGAGGCGCUUGGCAGCGAAGGUCGGCCCCGGCCGCCCCCUCCGCUCCCGUUGUCGCCCUUCAGCCCCACAUCGCUCCUCCACAGUGCGCAGUGAGCUGUGUUUUUGACUUUAAAGUGAUUUUUCCGGCUGUGGGACAAGGAGAGGGAAGUACAGGGGGACAAGGGGAGCAGGUGAUACAAAAGCACUCCAGAAGCUGCUGACAGGGCACGGAGGGUCCUCGCACUUGACCGCCCUGCACACUCCUAGACACUCAAGACCAGAACGGUGGCCAAGACUCUGGAAAUUAGCAAAAUAGAAAUAUGUAGAAAGAUUUCCAGGAGUGCAGAGUCAGGUAAAGGACCUGUUGAAGGGCUCUGGGGAGCCUGCAGACCACAAGUUCUG